AUUGAAACACACGUUCCCGUGCGAUCACCGAAGUUAAGCAACGUCGAGCUUGGUCAGUGCCUAGAUGAGUGACAACUUAGGAAUACCAUGUGCUGUAAG